UUCCUUAGUAGCGGCGAGCGAACAGGAAUAAGCCCAGCACUGAAUCCCGCCGUUGUAACGGCGGCGGGAGAUGUGGUGUUCGGGAGGUUCCGCUUUCUUGUCGUCGUCCACUCCUGUCCAAGUUCGUCUUGAACGGGGCCCAUUUCCCAUAGAGGGUGCCAGGCCCGUAGCGACGGAGGACGGCGGCGAGAGGGACUCUCCUCAGAGUCGGGUUGCUUGAGAGUGCAGCCCUAAGYGGGUGGUAAACUCCAUCUAAGGCUAAAUAUUACCGCGAGACCGAU
rnacentral:rRNA from 1 species